AACGCACCUUGCGCUCCUAGGUAUUCCUUGGAGCAUGCCUGUUUGAGUAUCAUGAAAUUCUCAACUCCCAAGUUUUUUUACUUGGUGAGCUUGGAUUUGGAGGCUUGUGCUGGCUUGUUAAAAGUUAGCUCCUCUGAAAUGCAUUAGCGUGAAUCUUACGGAUCGCCUUCAGCGUGAUAAUUGUCUACGUUGUGGCUGUGAAGUAUUUAUGUCUUCAUGCUUAUAAUCGUCUCUAACAAAGACAAUUUCUUAACUUCUGAUCUCAAAUCAGGUAGGACUACCCGCUGAACUUAA
rnacentral:misc_RNA from 1 species